UACCCUGUAGAUAGAGCUGUGUGUUUGGAAUAUACCGUACACAAGCUAGACUACAAGGUGAA
rnacentral:pre_miRNA from 1 species